GAGACACGGCCCAGACUCCUACGGGAGGCAGCAGUGGGGAAUCUUGGACAAUGGGGGAAAGCCUGAUCCAGCCAUGCCGCGUGAGUGAUGAAGGCCUUAGGGUUGUAAAGCUCUUUUACCGGGGAAGAUAAUGACGGUACCCGGAGAAGAAGCCCCGGCUAACUUCGUGCCAGCAGCCGCGGUAAUACGAAGGGGGCUAGCGUUGUUCGGAAUUACUGGGCGUAAAGCGCACGUAGGCGGAUUGGUAAGUCAGGGGUGAAAUCCCGGGGCUCAACCCCGGAACUGCCUUUGAUACUGGCAGUCUUGAGUCCGGGAGAGGUGAGUGGAAUUCCGAGUGUAGAGGUGAAAUUCGUAGAUAUUCGGAAGAACACCAGUGGCGAAGGCGGCUCACUGG
rnacentral:rRNA from 1 species